UAGAGAGGAAUGAAGUGGCAACAAGCUAGUGAAGACCCAGCAGUAGAGAAAUUCAUUUAAUCAUGAUGUUCCUUCAUCUGAUGAUGGUAUCAGUCCUCUCUGGUGGUUCAGCUGAAGUUGUGCGUGAAUUUCGAGAGAAAUGCGCUGAUAUUUUUGCAAAUGGAGCUUCACCAACAAUACUUCACGGACCUCAGUACAAACAAAUUUGCCAAACUUUAAAAAAAAAAGUUUAUUAUGCCACACUUUAUGAUACUGACAACAAGAUUCCAGUCUACUCUGCCUACAAGUUUGUCAAGCAAAUGAGUUGCAAAAGAAAACACUUUUGGUGCAUUGAACCUCAACUUGAUAAUCCAGGAGAAGGACCAAAUAUGGUACCUGACCAUUCCAGACAAUCAUCGAAUCAAGCUGUCAGUGAUGAUUACAAGCAAUCUAGCUUUGACAGAGGUCAUCUGGCACCAGUCUACCUGGCAAGCUCACA